CCGAAAAGCUUGAGGAUGUUGCUGGCCUUUCCUUUGCAAAAGGUGGGCAUGUGCACUCCUUGAACGUUUCCAACCCUCACACCUGUGCACCUUUUGUAGGCCUGGCAUGACAAGUGUUUUGGCCUAUGUGUUUUUUUCACACACACACCGUUUGAAUGUCUUUCGAAUGUCUUGUUAUCUUUAUGAUAAAUAAAAAACA
rnacentral:misc_RNA from 1 species